rnacentral:rRNA from 1 species
AUGACAUCAUCUGCGGGCGAUGCUAAAAGUUCUAUUCAAAGCUGGGUUGAGUUCUUGGUUAAUUAUGUGAAGAUGAUUAAUGGAGACUACAAAAGGAUGAUCUCAAGAAAUCGUUGCAGGCAUAUUUCUGCAAUCUGUAACUCCUUUGCUAAACAUAGCAAUUGUGUAGCUCAUGAUCUUGCUUCCCUCGCUAGAGUGUCAGAUAUUUUUGAAACCUGGGUGGGCAGUAUGGUGUGUAUGCAAAUGAUUUUGUUAAGUAAUUUAGUAUUUAUAUAUAAGCAUAGGUUUUGUCGAAAAAAGUAUAGGCAGGAACUUACAACCAUUAACGUACCUUAUCUGUUGGUUAAGUACUCAAAGGAGUAUGUCGAGAUUUAG